AUCAAAGGAAUAAAGGGCGU
rnacentral:rRNA from 1 species